rnacentral:piRNA from 1 species
GAGUCAUUUCUCUGUAGAUUGCCUAUGC